rnacentral:rRNA from 1 species
GUGCCAGCCGCCGCGGUAAUACGGAGGGGGCUAGCGUUGUUCGGAAUUACUGGGCGUAAAGCGCACGUAGGCGGCGAUUUAAGUCAGGGGUGAAAGCCCAGUGCUCAACACUGGAACUGCCCUUGAGACUGGAUUGCUUGAAUCACGGAGAGGUGGGUGGAAUUCCGAGUGUAGAGGUGAAAUUCGUAGAUAUUCGGAAGAACACCAGUGGCGAAGGCGGCCCACUGGACGUGUAUUGACGCUGAGGUGCGAAAGCGUGGGGAGCAAACAGGAUUAGAUACCCUUGUAGUCC